CGGGGUAUAGCGCAGUCCGGCUAGCGCACCUGGUUUGGGACCAGGGGGUCGCAGGUUCGAAUCCUGCUACCCCGA
rnacentral:tRNA from 1 species